CCCUUAGAUGUUCUGGGCCGCACGCGCGCUACACUGAUGCAUUCAACGAGCCUAUCCUUGACCGACAGGUCCGGGUAAUCUUUGAAUCUGCAUCGUGACGGGGAUAGAUUAUUGCAAUUAUUAAUCUUCAACGAGGAAUGCCUAGUAGGCGCAAGUCAUCAGCUUGCGUCGAUUACAUCCCUGCCCUUUGUACACACCGCCCGUCACUCCUACCGAUUGGGUGUGCUGGUGAAAUGUUCGGAUCGGCCGUUUGUCGCGGUUUCCGCGUCAUGUGGCUGAGAAGUUCAUUAAACCCUCCCACCUAGAGGAAGGAGAAGUCGUAACA
rnacentral:rRNA from 1 species